CUUAUCCAAGUGAUCCUGACUCCCAGUCUAACUGAAAUUCAUAAAAACUGGGCUGGCUUGUUGAGCAAAAAUGCUGUAGCUACACAGCAUUCAUCAUUAAAGCACACCUGCUCUUUCAAACAAACAUUAUGAGGCAUCACCUGCCUAUGUCUCUCUAAUGAAUACCUGGUUAUACGGUAUUUUUCGCUCAGAUCAGUCCUCACAGCAAAAUGGAAGGAGGAAUAGGAAAAUGGAAGUGAACAGAAGUUGCAGAGAAAGGUGGAUUAUGCACGGCAAUGGUGCUGUUAAAAGUAAACAUCACUGGGACUACAGCUUACCUUUAUGCCAAAGCAGGUUAUCACCUGCAUGUCACUGCUGAUGCUUGUCUGGCCACACCAAGAAGUACAGAAGCUAAACAUGCAGGAAAUUGCUACUCCCCCUUCCUCCCCACAAAAGAAAUAGAGAGAGAAGGAGAGAGAGAAACAGAGAGAGAAACAGAAAGAAAGAAGUGAGUGGGGAGCAGUUUUCAUCUGGUGUAAGUCUCUGAAAUGGCUUAUCACGAGGUCAGCUGAAAGCCAAGGCACGCACAAUGGAAGGAGUGGAGCUGAAGGGCUAGAGCACAGGAAUGCAGGGAGCAAAGGACUGACACAGUGGAACCCAGCCUGGAUGAAACUUCUGGGGAGCUGCAGCCAGAGAAACAUCUGUCUCUGGAACUGACAGAUGUAAAAUGUUUGUAACUCCCUACUGCAUGGCUUCUAUCUCUGCUUUUUGCCUGUUUAUUUCUUGAUACAAAGAAGCCCCGAUGCCCAAGUUUUGCUUCUGAAAUGCAAUGCUUAAAAGCAGGAGCAGCACAUACCAGGGAGCUGUCACUGUGCUGCAUUCACACCCCGUGGUGUGGAAGCUGUUGUUUCUUGCAGUGAUUGCUCCUGAGAGAGGGCCUUGAACUAUACUGGAGUGGUUUUGCUUCUUACGAUCUAAGGAAUUUUUGUUUGGAUUGGGUUGGAUUUGUUAUUGUUUUUUCUUAUUAAUUUUAGUUUGCGAGUCUUUCUUUCUUUUUUCCCCAGCAGUCACCAGCCUUGUUACUGAUGCCUGGUCAAUUGGUUGGUCGGAGGAUAGAUAUGAGAAACACAAACUGCACGGUACUUUUAAAACAUACAGGCUGUGUUAAGUUCCCAGCUUCACAGCACACCGGACGUUCAAACAGUCUGGAUCCUAUUUAGCAAACAUUGUAGAACGUAUUCAGUUAAUAAAAGCUUGGCAAAUAUUAGUAAAAGGCUUGUAAUGGCUGGGAGUGAUGUAAAGGUUAAAAGCUUUGAUAGCAUCGUACCAAGCCCGGAUGAAGCUUGAAGGAACCAAAAUGAUGGGCCAAUGAGAAAUCUCAGUGCUGAUGAGGACAUGAUGAAAUAUUCAUUUGUUGGAAUCAGGAAAAGAUGCAACUGUUCUAUAAAUCUGCAUUUAGCUUCAGAACUUGAUUUUUUUAUAUAUAUUUUUCAGCUCAUGCAGUCCAAUUCUCUCAUUAUCAGUGUAUACAAACUAAAACAAGGAAGAAGUUUCCUCACUACUCCCAGCCUGACAAGAAAGCAAGAUGUUCUUUUCUUUAUGCUUAUGUUACACUGUUUUUCCCUAAUUACAAGCCAGGAGAGGGCUGCAGGGCAGACAGGCACAUGGGGAACGCUAUUUAUUGGUAGGAUCAUUUUGGUGCAGCUGCUGCCCUGACUGGGCAGAGAGAAGCUCCCUGUGGCCCUGAGAUUCCAGCACCUCUCAGGGAAGGCCUGGACAGGAGACGCAAAACCAGGACCACCAGAACUCAUGUGCCAGAUCAGGAUGCACUGCAUUCCCGCUUCCAAAACCGCCCUGAAGAUUCACUUUCCUUUAAAGGCUUGUCUGGACGAGGAUAAAGGUGUAUUUAAAAAAAAAAAAAAGUGCCAGUGAAAAACUUUUAAUUAACAUGAUUUCAGACCCGCAGUGUUGACGGGGUGUGUUGUAUUUUAGCGCAUUUGCCAGCAAACGUGUUAAAAUACAUUUGUGUCCUGUCUACAGGUAACAAGUUGGGACAAGUUUCCAAAAGUUUCAACAUUUAAUUGGAAUUAAAAGUGCUGACUGAGGUACUUUUACCCUGGCUGAGGCUGGGUGUCGUACAUGGAUUUUCUGGAGCUCUGAGAACAGCUGUGAGGCACACACUAUCAGCAAACACUGUGUCACAGGUGAGCAGCCAUAGCUGGGAGGCAGUGGCUCUGUGGGUUUGCUGGGCAGCACCUCCUGACUUUCCAGCAGCCCUAUCUCAGCCCUCCCACUUCCCAACAGGAGAGUGUGAAACCAAUCUUGGGCAAAACAUGCUGCGAGGAGUCACAUGUGGAAGCACUGCUGACAAGCUGAUUUUGGGGGUACAGCGUGCAACUGGAGAUCAGGCAGUGGGCUAAGGUGAGGCAUGGCUUUUGGUAUGGUGAUGGGAGGGGAACCCAGAGCUGCACUUUCUUAUUCACUAUUGGGCAUCUCAGAGGUGUCCCUCGGUGGAUGUUCUUAGAAAUGUUACCAUGGCACACAGGGGAUAUAACUACGUGCUGACACUGCUCUUGUUGUAGAAGCCGAAAUACAUUUACAGUGGAAUCAUUCUUUUUCAAACGCUAAACCUCUGUAAGCACCUGGUACAUCAUUGGUCCUGCCAGAGAAACGCUGUGAGAUGGUCGCUGUGGGUCCCUUCCACCUCAGGAUAUUCUAUGAUUCUAUGACCUUUGUGUGUGGAAGCCACUGAAGCACAAUGGUGAGUUCCAUACUCAUACCUCAUUAGUCCUUUUGCAAUACACCAGUCAAGGUGGGGGGUUGUUGGCGGGUUUUUUUUUUCUUUCUUUCUUUUUUUUUUUUUUUUUCCCCUUUGGAAGGAGAUGAAAAGAUCAAGAACUUAAGUGAAGUGCAAGAUUAAGAAUGAGGAAUCUCCCCUGCAGCGUAUUUGUUCUUGCUGGAGUCCUAAAGGUGUGGUGUGACAGCGAGCAGCCCAGCGGCUGCUGGGCCAGCCACAUGGUUACAUCUGGUGGUGGCACCUCACAUCGAGGGGUCUCUGUUAGAACAGAGCUGUCCGGGUUGCGAUGCACUGGGAAGGCAGCAUGCAGUUGUAGAACAUAGAAAUGGUUGAAAACCACACCGUUUGCAAAGCAUAUGCCGCCAAAACUCCCACAGCCUCUCUGUGCAGUGUUUCAGUGCCACCGCUCUGAGAUCCACGCGCUGCUACAGAAGAAAGGGAACUCGCAGAUGCCAACGCAGGUGAAAUCCCAGUGCAGGUGGACAGACGGAUGGCUUCUAGUGCUGUUAGGUCCUGGCACGGUCUUCAAGGAGGUCUUCUCCAUGAGCUGGUAUCUCGACUAGCGUGAAAAAGACAAAAUAAUAGUUAAAAAAAGAGAAAAUCACGAUCCAAAUGAAGAGGGAGCAGAGCAAGCCCCGAGCUCGGAGUUCCCUCGGGAAGUGGCUCACGAAGAUCUCCGCCUCUCCUCGCCCCUCCGUCGCGCAAACGCCCGCCGAGCACCCGCGGUGCCCCGAACGGGCGUGUCCGGGCGGGGGGGGGGUUCCGGCCGCCACCGCGACCCCGUUCCC
ensembl:lncRNA